GGUGAAUGAGGCUGAGAGACUUCAGAGAAGUGUGACUAGCCCAAGGUCAGCCAUGUGGAGGAGUGGGGAAUCAAACCCGGUUCACCAGAUUACGAGUCCACUGCUCUUAACCACUACACCACACUGAGCAAGAGACAAACCAAAGAGGGACAAAGCAGGUAGAACCAAACUUUUUGGAAAUAAAUGUUUCAUGAUUAAUAAAAAAAAAUGUUUGCCUUGUAGAGGCUGUUCCCCCUCCCCUUUCCUAUGCUUUCUUUUUGGGUGAUUUCCAGCUGACCCUGGAGACUUUUCUUUACAAGAAAGAGGCUGUGAGGGAAGGAAGAGUGACUGAGAGGAAGCCAGUACUGUAAUUGGACAAAUCUAUCUCUUAAUGGAAUAAUGGCUGCCUCUGCCUCUUGGCUUGCAGUACUAAAGGUUCCUGUUAAUUGGUUCUACCUCUUUCAUGUCUUGUUCUUCUUCCAAUGAAGUGAUUGGGUAGAGACUUUGGGGGAGCUUCUGUGCCUCUUUAUCAACACAUCUUUGUGUUAGUAAGGCAACAGUUUUAGUGACUUUAUGACAGCUGGACAAAAAUUAAACAUUUAGUCAGAAAAGAAAUGCUUCCGCCAUUAUAAGCCUCAAAAUUUUAUCUUAUAAAAAGACACCCAUUGAGCUAAUAACUUGAAACCCAUCAUAUGUGAACUACCUGAUGAGAUCUAUGAAUGUGCCAAAUCUCAUACCUCUACAAUAAAAAUUGUCCCAGAUAAAAUAAGUUAAAAAGUCCUAGAAAUUGGCACACUUACCCCUCUCCAAUUUUUGAACAGAAAUGUUAUAUAUUUCUUUCCCAUGUUGGCGAAAACUACUGAUGUACUUUAUUCAAGAUGAUGAAGGAAGGCAAUCUUUCAUUGACUUGGUGAAAUUCUUAGCAGUAGUUCAAAAGUUAUCGAUGUUUCCCAGACCCGUUAAACUAAGGGCAGCAACUGCUGGCAAAAUAAGAUGGUGCAUGCACAGUUAAAAUCUUGAAGUGAGAAUUAAACCAGUACUGCAAUGUUUGCAGGGGGAGCCACCUAGUGGGUGCUAUGUGCAAUGCCUGUUUUCAAGGUAUAGACUUCUUUGUUGCUGGAGCUCUUGCUCUGUUAGUCAACUGCGGAAAGUAGAGUGUGGUACAGUCAAAUCACGGUUGUCAAACGUAAUCUGUUCUGGAAGCCCGUUCGGCUUCCAAAAUGUUCGACAACCAAGGUGUGGCUUCCAAUUGGUUGCAGGUGGUUCCUGCACUCAAGUGGAAGCCAUGUCGGACAUUCAGCUUCUGAAAAACAUUUGAAAACCGGAACACCUACUUUCGGGUUUUCGGCAUUCGGGAGCUGAAACAUUCCAAAACAGAGGCAUUUGGGAGCUGAGGUUUGACUGUACAGGGAUUGUACUGAGGGAUCGCACACAAAUAGUGAGGAUUGGGCCUGUUACAUCUACCUCUCUGAAGCUCAGCACUGGCACCCCACAGGGGUGCAUGCUGAGUCCCUACCUGUACUUGUUGUAUACAUAUGGCUGUAUCUCAUCCGAUCCAUCUACUGUAAUUAUUAAGUUUGCAGAUGAUACCACCAUAAUGGGUCUAAUUACAGGUGGAGAUGAAUCAGCGUACAGGGAGGAGGUUCAAAAAGUCUCGACAUGGUGC